rnacentral:rRNA from 1 species
UGUGGUUUUGGAUGGACUCGCGGCCUAUCAGCUUGUUGGUGAGGUAAUGGCUUACCAAGGCGACGACGGGUAGCCGGCCUGAGAGGGUGACCGGCCACACUGGGACUGAGACACGGCCCAGACUCCUACGGGAGGCAGCAGUGGGGAAUAUUGCACAAUGGGCGCAAGCCUGAUGCAGCGACGCCGCGUGAGGGAUGACGGCCUUCGGGUUGUAAACCUCUUUCAGUAGGGAAGAAGCGAAAGUGACGGUACCUGCAGAAGAAGCGCCGGCUAACUACGUGCCAGCAGCCGCGGUAAUACGUAGGGCGCAAGCGUUAUCCGGAAUUAUUGGGCGUAAAGAGCUCGUAGGCGGUUUGUCGCGUCUGCCGUGAAAGUCCGGGGCUCAACUCCGGAUSUGCGGUGGGUACGGGCAGACUAGAGUGAUGUAGGGGAGACUGGAAUUCCUGGUGUAGCGGUGAAAUGCGCAGAUAUCAGGAGGAACACCGAUGG